rnacentral:rRNA from 1 species
CCCUGGUGGCGAGUGGCGAACGGGUGAGUAAUACAUCGGAACGUGCCCAGUCGUGGGGGAUAACGUAGCGAAAGUUACGCUAAUACCGCAUACGAUCUACGGAUGAAAGCGGGGGAUCGCAAGACCUCGCGCGAUUGGAGCGGCCGAUGUCAGAUUAGGUUGUUGGUGAGGUAAAGGCUCACCAAGCCGACGAUCUGUAGCUGGUCUGAGAGGACGACCAGCCACACUGGGACUGAGACACGGCCCAGACUCCUACGGGAGGCAGCAGUGGGGAAUUUUGGACAAUGGACGAAAGUCUGAUCCAGCCAUUCCGCGUGCAGGACGAAGGCCUUCGGGUUGUAAACUGCUUUUGUACGGAACGAAAAAGCCUUGGCUAAUACCCAGGGUCCAUGACGGUACCGUAAGAAUAAGCACCGGCUAACUACGUGCCAGCAGCCGCGGUAAUACGUAGGGUGCGAGCGUUAAUCGGAAUUACUGGGCGUAAAGCGUGCGCAGGCGGUUUUG